UUUUAUUUAGAGUCAAAGCCUUUCAACGGUAAGGAUUUUAUGGUUUAAAUUUUAAAGUUAAAAAAAAAAUGCAUAUUGAGUGUGCGACGAGUCGUUGUUGGGUUGGCCCCACAAGGAUUAUCCACAAACGAAACGAAAGUCGUUAAACGACCCUCAACCCUUUCAAAGACAAAACAAAAACAAAAGGAAAUUGGAAAAAAGCAAAACAAAACCCAACGCUCAGAGCUCUCUCUCUCACUCUCUCUCAAAUUUCUCUGAGCCAAACCCUAGCAGCCUGGCUGUUUGUAAUGAUUAUCAGCCUACACAGACGUCCUAGUGCUUGAAAACCAUCACCAGUUUCACAAAUUUCAAGCGGUUUCUCUGAAAGAUUUGGGUUUUCUCCGUUUUGGCGUGUCAGAAGCUCUCGGAAUUCGUGAAUUUUCCUCGGUGCUAUAUACGUACGGCAAACCAAUCGGAAAUUUUGGAGCAAUUGUACCAUCCAUUCGCUCAUCAGAAUCGGUUCCUCAGCCUAGGGUUUUCUGAUUCUCUCAGUCUAUUUGUAAGGAUCGGUGCGAAGACAAAAGCAGAGUGCAUUUUCUAAUUUCACUGAGAUCUGUGAAAUUUUAUUCGAAUUGCGACGAUCGGCGGAGGAUUGAAUCUCGCAACCUAAUUUGAUUCGAAGCAUCUGUUCAAUGAUCGGUUUGUAAAGGAAUUGAAUGGAACCAAAGGGAGGAGGAUUGGUGUAUCGUCGGCGAAGAAGCUUCUGAAGAGCUCUCUCUCCCCCUGUUCUUCUGCGGUGGUUUGAUUGUUCGAUCUCAAUAGAAUAAUCGAAGAAAAAAGAAAACGAAAAGAUCUUUAAUUUUUCGUACUGUUUGAUUUUUGUUUUUUGGAGUUUAAUACAAGGCCUUUUCUUUUUUUUUUUGGCCUUUGAUUAUCGUUUUCCUCAGGGCGUUUGUUUGUUCUUGUUGUGGUAUUUUGAAAGAAAAAAUAUUUGAAUCAAAGACAAAACAAAAACAAAAGGAUAUGAUGUUUCCGGAUUGACUUUACAAAAGUCUGAUACCGCUAUUUCUUCUCUUGAAAAAUACAUCAAUUGUACAUCAAAACUCUCUCUCUACAUAACCAAAUAAAAUUUUGAGUUUUUACAUGUUCCUUCAUCUUUUGGUAUACACAUCGCAUUCUUCUGACAAAACAUUUGUUAAAUUUUGUCACAUCUCAGUGUGUGACUUCUAAAUUCUUCUGACAAAACAUUCGUUAACUUUUGUCAUGGGUGGAUAGAUUGUGUUUUGAUGAAAAUACCACUUUAAAGUUGAUCACGUGACCAAUUUUAACGAAUAUUUUGACGAAAUGCGAUAAG
rnacentral:lncRNA from 1 species